GCUUGGCUGGGUGGUCUGUGCAUUUAUCAGAAGCACUGGGCUGGGAAAAUGUCUGCGGUGGGGCCAUGUUCUGGCUCCUCGGAAAUCAGAAGGUAUCGAUCUCCUCCAGCGAGCCGCUCCCCACGGUCUCCGCAUCCUGCGCGGCGGCGGCGGCGCAGCUGCCGCCGGAGGAGCGGUGGGAACGGCCCCCGCAUCUGAGCCCAUUAGUCACCAGAUGUCACCUUCUGCUGCCAGCGCCUCCAACAGCCCGGCACACAAUGUCCCGAGCACGCUGAACGUGUGAGCGGCGGCUCUCGCAGCAAGGCGGACAGCGCCGUGCGCCGCGGGGCCAGCCCGGCCCGACCCUGAGCCAUGUUCACAGUGACACCUACAGCCGCUUACUUGCUAAUUGUCAUAAACUGAAAUAUAACUGAAUUAUCCAUUUGGGGAUAACACAGCAUCGUUUUAGCAGCAAAAGGACACAGGCUGGCAAUGAGUUAAUUAACUGUUACUCUCAUCCCUAAGACCAGUUUGCUAAGUUGGAGUUCAUCUUUCUGGACCAUGGCUGAACAAGCUUGUACCCUGUGAAGUCUGACAUUAUGUUGCACUACUGAACUAACAUUAUUCAGUGUUAAGUGGGUCUACUUUAUUUCCCAAACUCUAGGACUGUGUUCUUGCCCUCCUCCAGCUGACUCCAUCAUGGACUGACUGAUUAACAUUCACGUCUUGCUCUUGCCCUGCCAUUUCCAGCUACGGUCUCAGCAAUAGAAAAUAAAAUGUCUGUAAACAGAAAAUAAAGAGGAGCAACUCA